rnacentral:pre_miRNA from 13 species
AACGAAAUUCUUACCUUGUUUCUGAUCUUAGGAGGUAGUAUUUCUUGUGCAGUCUCAAUUUUCUCAGAUGUCUGAAAAAGUCUUCUUUGGUAAUCU